UAUGGCUAUAUCACCUUGAAACAUCGGUUCACGUACAAUCAACGAAGUUAAGCAGCGUCGAGCCUGGUCAGUACCGAGAUGGGUGACUGCUUGAGAAUACCAGGUGCUGUAAG